UCAAUAAGCGGAGGAAAAGAAACCAACCGGGAUUGCCCUAGUAACGGCGAGUGAAGCGGCAAGAGCUCAAAUUUGAAAGCUGGCCCCCUCGGGGUCCGCAUUGUAAUUUGCAGAGGAUGCUUCGGGAGCGGUCCCCAUCUAAGUGCCCUGGAACGGGCCGUCAUAGAGGGUGAGAAUCCCGUAUGGGAUGGGGUGCCCGCGCCCGUGUGAAGCUCCUUCGACGAGUCGAGUUGUUUGGGAAUGCAGCUCUAAUUGGGUGGUAAAUUUCAUCUAAAGCUAAAUAUUGGCCGGAGACCGAUAGCGCACAAGUAGAGUGAUCGAAAGAUGAAAAGCACUUUGAAAAGAGAGUUAAACAGCACGUGAAAUUGUUGAAAGGGAAGCGCUUGCGAUCAGACUCGCUCGCGGGGUUCAGCCGGCCUUCGGGCCGGUGUACUUCCCCGCGGGCGGGCCAGCGUCGGUUUGGGCGGCCGGUCAAAGGCCCCUGGAAUGUAACGCCUCUCGGGGCGUCUUAUAGCCAGGGGUGCCAUGCGGCCUGCCCGGACCGAGGAACGCGCUUCGGCUCGGACGCUGGCAUAAUGGUCGUAAGCGACCCGUCUUGAAACACGGACCAAGGAGUCUAACAUCUACGCGAGUGUUCGGGUGUCAAACCCGUGCGCGCAGUGAAAGCGAACGGAGGUGGGAACCCCUCGGGGUGCACCAUCGACCGAUCCUGAUGUCUUCGGAUGGAUUUGAGUAAGAGCGUAGCUGUUGGGACCCGAAAGAUGGUGAACUAUGCCUGAAUAGGGCGAAGCCAGAGGAAACUCUGGUGGAGGCUCGCAGCGGUUCUGACGUGCAAAUCGAUCGUCAAAUUUGGGUAUAGGGGCGAAAGACUAAUCGAACCAUCUAGUAGCUGGUUCCUGCCGA
rnacentral:rRNA from 1 species